ensembl:lncRNA
GUCUUUACAAAGGUGGGAGUUGAGGAGAACUGAUGAGGAGAUCCACUGAGUUGAAGAAAUCACCAGAGUACGCCUUGAGAAAACACAAGUAUCUUCAUAUAGAUUACAAAAACAGAAAGAAGAGUGAUGAGAGCUCCUGAGGAUGGAGAAGAUGACGAUGAUGAUUUUGUAGAUGUGCCGGAAAAGGAGGGCUAUUAACCUCACAUUCCUGAACAUCUGUGUGCAGAGUAUGGACUUGAUGAAACUCCCUCAACGUCAACCUCUGGGGCCAAAGCCAAGCCAUCAAAACCUGUGGUCAAACAUCCUGUUCCUCUUGUGUCCUCCAGUCUCUCUCGACUCAAGAGGAGGAUGUGAGAGCAGGACCCCACCUGUGCUGCUGCAACGCUGCUUGUGUAACAGAGGAUUCAUUCUACUCCUUCAACAAGAUGAUCUGUACUUCCAUGCCCUAUUUUAUCAGUAUGUCUGGGGUCGCAGUGUGCCGCAGUGUGGGGGGCAUAAACAAAGACAAAGCCUCUGUUAAGGCCCCUGUCGUUCUGUUUGGUGUGGAUCUUUACUAAUGGAGCUCCAUGAGACGAGUUCCGGAGGUCAUGAACAAGAUGGACAAGAGGAAACAUGAGAAAUUUUCUAAUCAAUUUAACUAUGCAGUGAAUUGAAGGAUACAGCUGUACUGCCACACACCAGUUUGGAUUUUAUGCAGAACAAAAGCGCAUUGUUAAUACUGUACCUCAAAUGAACUGUAAUCUUUGUAUUGUCAAUGUUGGAUUGUCAUUUGUAAUGCCUAAAUAAUUUUAUUAAUUUUUUUUUUUUUUUAUUCUGAGUGGUAUAUAACAAAAAAAAAAAAAAAAAGUUAGACUUAGUCAUUUUAAAUCUUAAUUUAAAAUGGAAUUUUAUUCAAUUUUGUAUUUUCAACAUUGCGUUUUCCAAACUUUUGUCUUUGCUUCACUGAGGUAGACCUAUUUGUGAUCCAGAGUUUUAAAUAUAACAGUACUUUUAAAGAAAUAUAUUGUCAGUGUAAGUCUUAUGCGACUGUUAAUAUAGAGUACAUUUCUAUAGACAUGAGUUUGCCUUUGUUAAUUUAAGGGCUUUCUUUGUUGUGAAGAUUAAAAAUGCACAACCACCACAGCAACAUAUGAAGGCAUAGGCAAGGCAGGAUUUUUUAUUUAUUUAUUGCAUUUCAAGACUUUUACAUAAAAUUUAAUUUAUUAAUGUUUGCAUGUCCUUUAAGUAACAUAGUCUCACGACAUACUUGCAGUUUACCUUAAUCGAUUAGAUCUUACACAUAUUUUUAUUCAUGUAUUUUUUUUUUUGUAUAGCAAUUAUAUUAAAAACAGCUUUUCAUUACAACAAAUGAAGAAUGGCUUACAAUUUUAAAUGAGGCUAGCUAAGUUAACUUGACUGUAUAUUGCAGAAAACUAUGGCAUUGCUAAAAAGGAAGCAAUGCUUUUGAACCAGCCUAAAGCUGUUAAUUGGAAAAGUGAUUUUACUGUUACAGAAUUAGUGUAAAUUGACAUUGGUGUAGCUCGUGUGGUCUUGUUCCACCAAAUAAAUAAAUGAAUGAAAUAAAAUUUAUAUAAAAUUUUAUUUAUUUAUUUUAUAUUUUAUUUUAUUGUAAUAAUAAUAUAACAAUAUAUUAAUAAUGCUGUAAACGUGAAAUGUAGCUUUUGCACCCAUUUCAUUGUGCAUUUGUCUGGACACGAAACAAGAUCAUACGUUGGCAUGCAGGAAACGAAUUUAGCAAUUGCUUUAAAAUAUAUUUUUUAAUAUUUCAAAUAGUUUUUAAUUGUUUUAAAACCCCAUUUUAUAAAACAAUCACUAGCAUUAUCCCGUUGAAUAUCGCGUGAAAGAAAAGUUUGCUUAUAUAGGUUUAAUGUAAUAUUUUAUUCCAUUUGAAAUUUAAGCAGUGUACAAAGCAUGCAUCAAAAACAAUCGCACCAGCAAGGCUGAAAAUCGUGCUAAUUUUAGAAGCAUUAUACUAAUUCGUUUUAAGGCGUUGGACACCUUACUAUUACUUAGCCUAAUAUUAAUAGUAGGCUACUUAAAGUACGCAAAUGUCAGAAACGAUGGAGUCCUGUGUUAAACAUCACAGUCUUUACUUUCAGUAUCAAAAGGAAAUCUAAC